rnacentral:rRNA from 1 species
AGAGUUUGAUCAUGGCUCAGAAUGAACGCUGGCGGCGUGCUUAACACAUGCAAGUCGCACGAGAACGUUUCAGCUUGCUGAAAUUAGUAAAGUGGCGCACGGGUGAGUAACGCGUGGGUAAUCUACCUCCGAAUUGGGGAUAACAUUGCGAAAGCGAUGCUAAUACCGGAUAACAUCUUAAAAGCUUCGGUUUUAAAGAUCAAAGGUGGCCUCUACAUGUAAGCUUCUGUUUGGAGAUGAGCCCGCGUACCAUUAGCUUGUUGGUAGGGUAAUGGCCUACCAAGGCUACGAUGGUUAGCUGGUCUGAGAGGAUGAUCAGCCACACUGGAACUGACACACGGUCCAGACUCCUACGGGAGGCAGCAGUGAGGAAUUUUGCGCAAUGGGGGAAACCCUGACGCAGCAACGCCGCGUGAGUGAUGAAGGCUUUCGGGUCGUAAAGCUCUGUCAAGUGAGAAGAACCCACAUGGUGAUAAUACCACUAUGUGCUGACGGUAUCACUAAAGGAAGCACCGGCUAACUCCGUGCCAGCAGCCGCGGUAAUACGGGGGGUGCAAGCGUUAUUCGGAAUUACUGGGCGUAAAGGGCGCGCAGGCGGUCUUUUAAGUCAGAUGUGAAAGCCCGGGGCUCAACCCCGGAAGUGCAUUUGAAACUAAGGGACUUGAGUAUGGGAGAGGGAAGUGGAAUUCCUGGUGUAGC